CGCGUGCAGGAAGAAGGCUUCGGGUUGUAAACUGCUUUUGUCAGGGAAGAAAUCUUCUGAGUUAAUACCUCGGGAGGAUGACGGUACCUGAAGAAUAAGCACCGGCUAACUACGUGCCAGCAGCCGCGGUAAUACGUAGGGUGCGAGCGUUAAUCGGAAUUACUGGGCGUAAAGCGUGCGCAGGCGGCUUUGCAAGACAGGUGUGAAAUCCCCGGGCUCAACCUGGGAACUGCAUUUGUGACUGCAAGGCUAGAGUACGGCAGAGGGGGAUGGAAUUCCGCGUGUAGCAGUGAAAUGCGUAGAUAUGCGGAGGAACACCAAUGGGCGAAGGCAAUCCCCUGGGCCUGUACUGACGCUCAUGCACGAAAGCGUGGGGAGCAACAGGAUUAGAUACCCUGGUAGUCCACGCCCUAAACGAUGUCACUGGUUGUUGGACGCUUGCUGUUCAGUAACGAA
rnacentral:rRNA from 1 species